rnacentral:rRNA from 1 species
AUGAACGCUGGCGGCGUGCCUAAUACAUGCAAGUCGCGCGAACAGACGAGGAGCUUGCUCCUCUGACGUUAGCGGCGGACGGGUGAGUAACACGUGGAUAACCUACCUAUAAGACUGGGAUAACUUCGGGAAACCGGAGCUAAUACCGGAUAAUAUAUUGAACCGCAUGGUUCAAUAGUGAAAGACGGUUUUGCUGUCACUUAUAGAUGGAUCCGCGCCGCAUUAGCUAGUUGGUAAGGUAACGGCUUACCAAGGCGACGAUGCGUAGCCGACCUGAGAGGGUGAUCGGCCACACUGGAACUGAGACACGGUCCAGACUCCUACGGGAGGCAGCAGUAGGGAAUCUUCCGCAAUGGGCGAAAGCCUGACGGAGCAACGCCGCGUGAGUGAUGAAGGUCUUCGGAUCGUAAAACUCUGUUAUUAGCGAAGAACAAAUGUGUAAGUAACUAUGCACGUCUUGACGGUACCUAAUCAGAAAGCCACGGCUAACUACGUG